GCGUCGUGUGGAUUGUAUUUACGUUAUCGUCACAGUUAGUCGUACCUAGUCGCAAUCGAGACGAUUUAAUCGCCGCCGUCAUGUCACUUCCGAACAGCGAUCAUGAAAAGAGAAAGCAGAUUUCGGUGCGUGGCAUUGUUGACGUUGAGAACGUUGGGAACUUUAAGAAAACCUUUAACAGGCAUCUUCACUACACCCUGGUGAAGGAUCGUAAUGUCGCCACGAGUCGCGAUUAUUUCUUCGCCUUGGCCCAUAGUGUCAAGGACAAUCUCGUAUCGCGAUGGAUUCGCACCCAGCAGCAUUAUUACGAGAAAGAUCCUAAGAGAGUAUAUUAUUUGUCUUUGGAAUAUUAUAUGGGAAGAUCGCUACAAAAUACAAUGAUCAAUUUAGGAAUACAAGGAGCAUGCGACGAAGCUAUGUAUCAGAUGGGUUUGGAUAUAGAAGAGUUGGAAGAACUUGAAGAAGACGCUGGACUCGGUAACGGAGGAUUAGGCCGUCUAGCUGCCUGCUUUUUGGAUAGUAUGGCCACAUUAGGUUUAGCGGCUUACGGAUAUGGUAUACGUUAUGAGUAUGGUAUAUUCGCACAGAAAAUAAAAAAUGGUGAGCAAAUAGAGGAGCCCGAUGAUUGGCUCAGAUAUGGCAAUCCUUGGGAGAAAGCCCGACCAGAAUUUAUGUUGCCGGUGAACUUUUAUGGUCAUGUGAUUGACACUUCGGAGGGCAAAAAGUGGAUGAAUACACAGGUUAUUUUUGCCAUGCCGUAUGAUAGUCCAAUUCCUGGCUACAAAAAUAAUGUUGUUAAUACAUUGAGGCUGUGGUCCGCAAAGUCGCCUAUAGAAUUUAAUUUGAAAUUUUUUAACGACGGAGACUAUAUACAAGCGGUGAUUGAUCGUAAUCUAGCGGAGAAUAUCUCUAGAGUUCUUUAUCCCAACGAUAAUUUCUUUGAAGGCAAAGAGCUCAGAUUGAAGCAGGAAUAUUUCAUGGUAGCUGCUACUUUGCAAGACAUCAUCCGAAGAUAUAAAUCUAGCAAAUUUGGUUCAAGGGAGCAUCAUAGAACUGAUUUUAGUGUUUUCCCUGAUAAAGUAGCUAUUCAACUCAAUGAUACGCAUCCGUCCCUAGCUAUUCCCGAGCUGAUGAGAAUUCUUAUUGAUGUUGAAAGACUCUCUUGGGAGGAGGCUUGGGACAUUACUACACGUACAUGUGCCUACACAAAUCACACGGUUCUUCCCGAAGCAUUAGAAAGAUGGCCUACCCAUAUGUUGGAGAGUAUUCUUCCAAGGCAUUUGCAGAUAAUUUAUGAGAUAAAUCACUUGCAUCUUCAAAAUGUCGCAGCUAAAUGGCCUGGUAACAUGGAUCGUAUUCGUCAAAUGUCUUUGAUAGAAGAGGAAGGCGAAAAGAGAGUCAAUAUGGCUCAUCUGUCAAUUGUUGGUAGUCAUGCUAUAAACGGAGUUGCUCGUCUUCAUUCAGAAAUUCUCAAAGACAGUGUCUUCCGAGACUUUUACGAACUGAACCCGGAGAAAUUUCAAAACAAAACAAACGGUAUCACACCGAGAAGAUGGCUGCUACUUUGUAAUCCAAAUCUGUCUGAUAUAAUUGAAGAAAAAAUCGGAAGCGAAUGGACAGUUCAUCUGGAACAAUUGGAACAAUUGAAGAAGUGGGCGAAGGAUCCAGUAUUUCAACGUAACGUUGUUAAAGUCAAACAGGAAAAUAAAUUGCGAUUAGCCCAAAUAUUAGAGAAAGACUAUGGUGUUCGAGUUAAUCCGGCUUCAAUCUUUGAUAUCCAGGUGAAGCGUAUACACGAGUACAAACGACAAUUAUUGAAUUGUUUACACGUCAUUACUUUAUACAAUCGAAUAAAAAAAGAUCCGUCUGCUCAUUUUGUUCCAAGAACUGUGAUGAUAGGUGGUAAGGCAGCACCAGGUUAUCAUUUGGCAAAGAAGAUUAUCAAACUCAUCUGCAGUGUUGCUAAUGUUAUCAAUAAUGAUCCGAUCGUUGGUGAUAAGCUCAAGUUAAUCUUCCUUGAAAAUUAUCGUGUGACCUUGGCCGAAAAGAUCAUACCAGCCGCGGAUUUGAGCGAGCAAAUUUCGACUGCUGGCACCGAAGCAUCUGGUACUGGCAACAUGAAAUUUAUGUUGAAUGGCGCAUUGACCAUUGGUACUUUAGAUGGAGCAAAUGUAGAAAUGGCGGAAGAGAUGGGUAAUGAAAACAUCUUCAUUUUUGGUAUGACAGUAGAGGAAGUAGAGGCUCUAAAAAGAAAAGGCUAUAAUGCAUACGGUUAUUAUAACAAAUUACCGGAAGCUAAACAAUGUAUCGAUCAAAUCCAAGGAGGAUUCUUCAGCCCGAAUAACCCUGACGAAUUCCGAGAUAUCGCUGAUGUACUGCUUAAGUGGGAUAGAUUCCUACUCUUGGCUGAUUACGAGAGCUAUAUAAACAUGCAGGAUCAUGUUAGCAAAGUCUAUCAGGACGAGAACAAGUGGGUAGAAAUGGCUAUUCAUAACAUAGCAUCAUCGGGAAAGUUCUCAUCAGAUCGUACAAUAGCGGAAUAUGCGCGCGAGAUAUGGGACGUUGAACCGAACUGGCAGAAACUCCCGGAUCCACACGAGCCUCGUGAUAUUUAAAUAAAUUCGCCAUUAUUUUCUCAUAAAGUGUCUCGAUAUUUGUCUGUCUUCUUACAUAACUAAUAAAAUGAGGGCUUUUUAAAUGUUGUCUAAAAUGGCAUAGAUAUUGCUAAAAUCAUUUUACGUUCACCUUUUUCAUAAUGAAAUUACGAUAUAACAUAGGACUACUCUAAUUAUUACUAGAGCAGAACUGGAUGAUAUCUGCACAUUUCAACCAAUUUUUAUCUUGAUUCCUGCCUCUUCACUAAUCAGCGCAUAAUCUCUAAAUGCCCCAAUUGGCAUUUAAUCAAACUGAAAAUCGACCGAAAUAUAGAUUGAGAACUAUUAUACAUCUAUGUACACAGAACAUGAUAUGUUAGAUAUCCUCAUUGGGUACUAGGGAUAUUCAUGAAUACCUAAUCAACAGCCAUUAGAUAGAUCUAUAUAUCUAAAUAUCUCCCAGUUGAGAUGUUGAAUGUCCAUAAAAUAUCUAAUUAGUAGUUGUUCUUUUCAUAUGAACGAAGAUAGAUAAAAAGACCACUCAAUGAUUCCUAUUAAUGAAAGGAUUAGAAAAGUAUAUGUGUGUGUGAUACUGACGCUACAUACUUUCCUGUAACAUCGUGCAAUUAUACCAGUAUCUGUUUUGGAUAUCGAAUAAUUCUGAUCGUGUUCAAUAUAUUUGUUGUUAUGUAUGAUUUAUUUAAAAAUAAUUGAUUAAAAAAAUGUUUUUCGAAAGUAAUGGAUUCUCAAUAUUAAUACACGAAAUGUUUUACAAAACAUAAAAAAUUUAAUGAACUGUCUUAUCUUAUUUCCAAUAUCAGUGAAAGAGAAAAAGAUAUGCUUAUUUUAGGGCCGUCAAAUUUGAGCUCCGGAGCUAAAACGCAAAACUAUGACGCAAAAAAAGCAAUAUAGAUUUAAUUUAAGUAAUAUAAAGAUUUCGGAGAUUGCAAAGAAUUGAUAUGCGUUUGAGAGAGACGGUCCAUGAAAUUUUACUCACAUUGAAUUUUUUUGCGUCAAUUUGCAUUUUGGUUUUACAACUUCAAUUGAACAGGCCUGUUCUAUUUUAUCAGGAGAUUAUCUACACUAAUUAU